rnacentral:rRNA from 1 species
CCCUUAGAUGUUCUGGGCCGCACGCGCGCUACACUGAUACGCUCAACGAGCUCCUUGGCCGAAAGGUCCGGGUAAUCUUUGAAAUCGUAUCGUGAUGGGGAUAGAACAUUGCAAUUUUUGUUCUUCAACGAGGAAUGCCUAGUAAGCGCGAGUCAUCAUCUCGCGUUGAUUACGUCCCUGCCCUUUGUACACACCGCCCGUCGCUCCUACCGAUUGGGUGUGCUGGUGAAAUGUUCGGAUCGGCCGUUUGUCGCGGUUUCCGCGUCAUGUGGCUGAGAAGUUCAUUAAACCCUCCCACCUAGAGGAAGGAGAAGUCGUAACA